UGGUGGGGUGUGAUGGUGAUGGUGGGUUUAGCGGUGGUGGGUGCGAUGGUGAUGAUGGGUGGCGGUGGUGGGAGGUGUAUGGUGGCGGGUUUUGGAUGGUGAAGAUGGAUGUGAUGGUGGGUUGUGGUAUGUGGAUGCUGAAGUUGGGUUGUGGUGAAGGUGCGUUUGCGGUGGUGGAGGUGGUUUUAGGGGCGGUUGCAGGUGGUGGCGGCCGGAGUGCUGGUGGCUUGUGGAUGGUGACCGAUGAUGGGGAUUGAAGGUAAAAAAUUUAAUUUUGGAAAUGAUGGUUCAUGAUACAGAUUUAAACAAUUUAAUUUUGACGAGAAUAAUUCAAGUUAUAAAGUUGAAUUAAAUAUUUAAUUGGGUAAAGUUUGAAUUUUGGGAAAUGGAAUGUAACACAUUCAAACACAACAAUCCGACUUCGCCCGCAACGUUAAUUCUAGAAAAACUCUCGCCAUUACCCCUAAUUUUGUAGCACAUUUUCAAAGCAAGAUGAUGAGGUGGGAGAAAUUGGAGACACGAAAUGGAGCACCGGAGAAGAGAUGGGGCCACAUGUUUACGGUGGUGGAGACAAGAAAUGGAGCACAUGUAGCCACAGUGUUUGAUGAAAUGACUCUGUGAAGGAAGACAUGUUAUUGAUGGCAAGGCCGCCGGUGAAUACAUAUGGUUAACUUACAAGCAAGUCUAUGACACAGUAUUGAAGCUUGGAGAUUCCAUCUACACUAGAGGAGGAAUUAACAAAGGGGCAAGAUGUGGAAUAUAUGGGACGAAUUGCCCAAAAUGGGUUGUAAGCAUGCAGGCCUGCAAUGCUCACAGUCUUCAUUGUGUCCCUUUAUAUGAGACUCUAGGUGCUGGUGCAGUGAAAUACAUUAUAUGUCACACAGAGAUCUCAAUUAUAUUUGCAGAAGAGACUAAAAUUUCUGAGGUAGUUGGAAAAAGUCUCAGUUUUGUUUUACAUUGUCAUUAACAAGAUUUAUGAUUCUUGCCUUUGUAACCUUUUAGGGUUGUCUAUACACUAUCUUGCUUCUUUGUUUUUUAGUUUCUGAGAAAAAAAUCUCAUUGAGCUUUAGCACAAUCACAAAUGAGCAGAAGCAAAAGCAGAAGCAAAUGGCUGAAACAUGUGGCUUGGAACUUUAUUCUUGGGAAACUUUUCUGCAUCUUGGAACUUUAUUCUAAAGAUGAGGAGUGAUGUCUGUACAAUCAUGUACACAAGUGGAACCACUGGGGAACCAAAAGGAGUUAUGAUCAAUGAUUGUACGGGAGGCGAUGGUGUCAUUUUCGUCAAGGACAGUCGUAGCUCCAAUAAUACUAUGUUCACAUAACUCAUUCUUCAUGCUGCAUUGUAGAUUUCUGCUUUUGAUUUAUGAUAUCUUAAUGAUUUUUUUUUUACGUUUAUACCCUUUAGGAUGUAUUGGAAAUUCUCCGCCUGUGCUUGCUAAGGCAUAAACUUUCAUGCAUGCUAGCGGUGAGUCUUACGAUUUAGGAUGACAGAGAUUUGCUUUUUGGACAGUUUCGACUAUUGCCAAAAGGUGGGCUUGGGGGCACAAUGGGUAAAUGUCAUGCUGUUAUCGCUUGCUUUUCUAGUCUGAGUGACAAGAGAUUCUGUUGGAUGUAUUGUUACGUGUAUUGAGAUAAACCUCCCACGUGAGCUUGGUUCACCAGCUUUUUACAAACUUGAAGCUGAGUUGGAUGAAGCAACUAUGUCUUUACCUGCAACCAAGGGAUUUGAGUUUGACAGUUGAUUUGUAUCUGUGUCGGGCGUGUUCUGUAACGGGUUAAAUACAGGGUAUAGCAGGACUUGAUUUCAACGUUCGCAGAAAAGAAAUGAUGGAGGACUAGGCCACUAAUACAAAUGGAGUAAGUACAUUUGGUGCUUGCUUCAUCAUCCUAAUAUGAUGAAUCUUAUUGGCCUACCGUUCAAAGAAUCAUUAGAGGCUAUUGGUUAUGAGUACAUGCCUAAAGGAUGCUUGAAGAAUCAUCUUUUUAGAAGUGUUUCUUUUGUGACGUGACCAAUUGCUUUCUUGAUUGAUGUUUGGGUUGGAUCAGUGCCUUUGCCAGAAGUGUUUCCCAAUUUGCUUGCUUUAGAAAAGAAAAAGCUGUGUUUGGUGGCGCCAAGGGUGCGGGUAGUGGUGCAGUAAAUUGGAGCUGGAAACGGCCCGAGCGGUGCCUCUAUAGGCAGCAGAACUGCAGCAUCUAGAAGUGUUGUUGUGCACGAUAAACCUGUCUACCGAGCCUAACUGUUGGACUUGGCUAUGUGACUCGACGGGCGAAUUUUCUGUUAGAAGCGUGAAGAAGAUCAUCCAAGAGUUCGAUCGUGUGGUCCCGAAUUGUGUCUUUUAACGGAUCACCUGGGUACCGAGUAAAGUCGGCAUUGUUGCGUGGCGUGCCGAAGGAGACAGGUUGCCAACUAGAGUUGCUCUUGCGAAAAGAGGUAUUCCAGUUUUGAGGACUUGAAUGUGUUCUAUGUGCGGAAUUCAAGGAAACGUGUGAGCAUAUUUUUGUGUCGUGCCAGUUCUCACAUGUGGUAUGGCAACUUAUUGGUCAAUGGUGCAAAACUAAUUCACUGUAUGUUUUCAGUUUUGGACCUGCACAAAUGGGUCCUAUUAGGUAAAAGGAGGCAAAACUCUUUUCAUGUUAUUUCCUUAGUUACGAUUUAGAGCAUAUAGAGGCAUAGAAAUUAAUUGGCCUUUUGACAAAAGCCGGUGUUCGUUUCAAAUGUAAUUGAUGAGAUUAAUUUAAUGAGUUUUCUUUGGGUCAGGAAUCGUGCAAAAGAGUGUGAUUACGUGGGAGAGGUGGAAGUCAUUUGAUGUGUUUUGGUUACUUCUAUUUAUUUAUUUAUUUUUUUGCUUGGGUGUA